GACGAACGCUGGCGGCGUGCUUAACACAUGCAAGUCGAACGAAGUGGCGAACGGGUGAGUAACGCGUAAUCAACCUGCCCUUCAUCGGGGAACACCAGUUGGAAACGACUGCUAAUACCGCAUACUGAUUGAGGGGAUUGCGUCUGAUUGGCUAGGUGGAGGGGUAACGGCCCACCAAGGCGAUGAUCAGUAGCCGGUCUGAGAGGAUGAACGGCCACACUGGGACUGAGACACGGCCCAGACUCCGACGGGAGGCAGCAGUGGGGAAUCUUGCGCAAUGGGCGAAAGCCUGACGGAGCAAAGCCGCGGGAGUGAUGACGGCCUUCGGGUUGUAAAGCUCUGUUAAUCGGGACGCGGUACCGGAAUAGAAAGCCACGGCUAACUACGUGCCAGCAGCCGCGGUAAUUC
rnacentral:rRNA from 1 species